AGUGCCUUUGCAAAGAUUUAAGUGCGGUGGGGGGCGUUCCCUUAGAGACCGUGACAUCACACCCUACCUUCCCAGGGUGAGAAGGCGAGCUCUCACAGAUUGCACCUCUCUACUCAUUUUCCUGGAUUCAGGAUCCACAGACCUGUGUACAACACGUAAAGGGGACAACAAAGCGAGAGGUGCCCGGGUGCUUUUCCUUGCAAACCUGCGAGGAGCCGGUCACUCUUGUCUGACUGCUACAGCAGCUCACAAGGAAUUCACCCCCAUGGCUUCGGCGAUGACUCUGCACAUGUGAUUUCCAUCCUUCUAACUGCGGCCUGGACGGACCUCUCUCCUGAGCUGGGGACUGUCGAUCUAUCACGUCUUUCCCCUGAACCUCCAGCAGAUAAUACCUCACAGCCAAUACAUUCACCAUCUCUCCUGAUCUAACUUCCAUUGCUUCCCGUCUCUGUGAACAGAACCACCAGCGGCAAAGACAGAAAAGUCGGGCACACUAUUUAAUCUUCCUUGUCUUUCCCCAGGCUCAUAUCAGCUCAUCACCCUGUCCAGGUGCCUCUUGAAUCCGUCCACCUUGCUGCAUAUCUUUGCUGGUGACUGUGCGUCAACAUCUAUAAUAUUUCAGAUCAGACGUUCCCUUUGCCUCUCUCCUGGCUCACCCAUACUCCAUCUCCACUCCUAUUGCAAAGCGUGUGGUUCUUAGCUCCCUGACCAGGGAUUGAACCUGUGCUACCUACAUUGGAAGGCAAAGUCUGAACCACUGGACCACCAGAGAAGUCCCUAAACUUGCAGUCUUUUAAAGGGAAUGCUUCAGUGGUCUCUUCUGUCCUUAAGGCAAAACCUGAAGUCCUCAGAGGAGCUUGUUUCUUAACCUCCUAUUUUAUCUAGAAAAAAAAAAUGCAGGGGCAUGUUUAAUUUUACCUCACAGUUUACAAAUGCUACUAUAAAUAACACACAUUAAAAUUAAAGCACAUGAAAUUUUAAAUAAAUUUAAAAAUUAAAAACAUAAAUUGUACAUAAUGAAUACAUACAUUUAAAAAUUAAAAUCAUAAAUUAAACUUGGUUUCCCAACCCUUUGAAAUCUCUGAGUAAAACUGAUGCAUCAGCAAAGCACUUCAUGUGUCCAAUGGUUUGGCAAGCACUCCAGGGAACUCACAUCCCAGUUCU
ensembl:lncRNA